UUGCUAGUAAUCACAGGUCAGCAUACUGUGGUGAAUACGUUCCCGGGCCUUGUACACACCGCCCGUCACACCAUGAGAGUUGAGAAUACCCGAAGCCCAUGUCAAAGUGGUCGAAGGUAGGCUUGAUGAUUGGGGUGAAGUCGUAACAAGGUAAC
rnacentral:rRNA from 1 species